UACGGGGGGGGCAAGCGUUGUUCGGAAUUACUGGGCGUAAAGGGCUCGUAGGUGGCCAACUAAGUCAGACGUGAAAUCCCCAGGCUCAACUUGGGAACUGCGUCUGAUACUGGAUGGCUUGAAUUCGGGAGAGGGAUGCAGAAUUCCAGGUGUAGCGGUGAAAUGCGUAGAUAUCUGGAGGAACACCGGUGGCGAAGGCGGCGUCCUGGACCAACACUGACACUGAGGAGCGAAAGCCAGGGGAGCAAACGGG
rnacentral:rRNA from 1 species